CAGUAGCCGCGGUAACACGGAGGGUGCAAGCGUUAAUCGGAUUUACUGGGCGUAAAGCGUGCGUAGGCGGCUUCUUAAGUCGGAUGUGAAAUCCCUGAGCUUAACUUAGGAAUUGCAUUCGAUACUGGGAAGCUAGAGUAUGGGAGAGGAUGGUAGAAUUCCAGGUGUAGCGGUGAAAUGCGUAGAGAUCUGGAGGAAUACCGAUGGCGAAGGCAGCCAUCUGGCCUAAUACUGACGCUGAGGUACGAAAGCAUGGGGAGCAAACAGGAUUAGAUACCCCGGUAGUCCCUGUCUCUUAUAA
rnacentral:rRNA from 1 species